GCGACUGCAUGGCAUAAUUUAGACGUUAUUUGUUUCUACCAUAGUUGUGUUCGUUUAUUGUGUUUCCAUCUUUUUUCCAUUGUUCACACUAACAAAUAUUCUUUGAGAAUAUGCAGCCUUCACAUGACGUGUUUUUACCAUACAAAACUCAUUGUACAGGAAUCGGGUUACCGAUAUACACGAAGAGCUGUUUUUGCAGAGUUUCAUGUAAAAUAGAAAUAAUUCAAGAAGUUCUACCAAGAGAUUAAUGAUUAAGUCAUAUGUAUCGGCUUCCAAUGAAAAAUUGAUUAAUCCAUAAUGAGGAAAUUCAAAUUUGGUUGUUGUAGUGUAGGGGAGAAAAGUUUUUAAUGCAUAAAAAGUUAUGCUGCAAGUUUUAUUGACAGGGACAGACUACUAUUGUCACCAAGAAAGGAGUUAUUAUUUCAAUUGGAUUUUAAAGUAUGGAUUUACUUCAUCAGUUCUUUAUGGAAUAAAUAGAUUACCGAAGAUGAAUUAUGAAAUAUUAAUUUGAAGUGAUGCAUGAGUGAUGAUAAGAGGAAUUUAUUCAAAAUUAGCUUAAAAUUGAUGUGAAAUUUUAUUCAAAGGAUGUAACAUUUAAAUGGAAGUCUUCAAACGUCUGAUACAAGAAGUCAUACGAUAGGGCCCAUUGGUAGCUGAAACGAUUGAAACUUACAUGAAAAGAACAUUGUAACAACUUUGGCAUAGCUCUGCAAAGACUGAAAAGAGACUCGUUUACAAGGCGGAUUUUAUCUUGAUCGCUGAUAGUUACUUUUAUGUCAAGAUGAAAAGUUAUAAUAGCAUUCAACUACAUGCAUAAAAGGUUUUACCAUGUGGGAUAUAAUGAUAUCCAAUCAUAAUUUGAAUUGGUAGUAAAACUCCAUUUAGUUUGGAGAGACAGUGCUUGUAAUGGGGAUUUCUGUAAAUAUAAAAUCCAGGAAUAGUGUUGGAAAUAGCUAAAAGGAAAGCAAAAAUGUGUCUUAAGUUGGAUUCAUUGGAAAAUUAAUUUCGUUGAAAGGAUUUAUGUUCAACACAGCAUGAAGGAUACAAAAGAUAAAAUGUGAUAGAUAUGCUUUUAUAAAAACUAAUGUUAAAAUGAAGAAUGAGGAAAAUUUAAUGAUUUGAACUCUUGGUCUGCUUGUUCAUCCUACUUGGAAAGUAAAGAUGCUGGAGUUACCCAAAUUCAAAAAGGCGUCAGAGAUGUGUAAAGAGGCUGAAGGGCGAUACCAUUUAAGAUGCCUUUAUUUUGAAGUUACGUAAAAUAAAUGCAUUGGUCAAUAACUUAAUCAGAAUUGGAGAUGCUGUCUUGUAUUUCUGCUGUAUAUAUACUUGUUAAACAACUUAUUGGAAUAACUUUUAAAAGCAGAAGAUCAAGUCAAAGCCUAAACUUUGUAGAUAUUCAAAGGGACAGACAAUUAAAAUAUUGUGGUUAAAUCGCUGAUAGAAUAUGAAGUCCGGCCAUUGUUCUGUGGAUUUACCGGGUACAUUAAUAUGAAACCGAGGUCAAACAGAUCAUCAGAAUGAUUUUUCUCAGGAGCUGGAGCAGUCAUGCAUAGAGGGGUUAAUAUUUAGGUCAAGAGAACCGGUCACUCAGAAGCACUUUACAGUUGGACAUUUCAAUUUAUUUCUAAUUAGUGACCAGAACAUUAUUUGCGCCAAUGUUUGAUGGUGUUGACAUUUUAUAUUGCAGGUGUAUAGAGAUUUUCAUUAUUUGUUUAAACCGUGAUUCAUAACUCUGGAUUGUUUGUAACAGAAAAACCGAGAAGAAACAAUUGAUAACGAAAUUAAACAAAUGUAUUAACUAACAAAUACUUAUUAAAUGUGUCUUUCUUGAUGAUCGUGUCACAGUUUGUUUCGCAAUGUUUUAUUCAUUUGAUCAGAAAAAAUGUAUUUUUUUUGUAAGUUAUGUUUUGCAGAAGAAAAACUUGAUAUUUUGAUAUUCAAAACGAUUUGUAAAUUUAUUUCAAUUUUUGUGGAAAAUGUAUUACUAGAAAUUUUCCAGACACAAAUUGAAGUUUUAUAAUAAAUACAUUGGAUCUAUACUAGGUCAGGAUCCUGAGUUACACUUCUGGAAACAAAUUAAGCUUUUUUAAGGGGUAGGUUUAAAAACUAUUUGAGCUCGUUUAAAAGUCUAAAUUUCUUAGCUUUUCAAAUUGACGGAUUCUUUUCGAUGCUAUAUAAAAUUUCUUGAAGUCACCAAAGUCUGUCAAAUACAAUAAUUUAAUACAUAGCAGAAAGUAAUGUAUGUUGUUACCUUUUUCUUUUUUUAUUUAAGGGGAAACAGAUUCAGACGUCAGUUUAUUUCGUUUCCCAAACGUGAAACUAGAAUCUAUCUUUUCUUUGAGAAACGUCAGAAAAAAUGAAUUAUCAAAAAUAUCAGAUCAAUCUAUAAACAAAAGUUUGUCAGUCAAAUAAUCACAAAUAACAAAUAUUGAAUCGUGUUUCUAGGCCAACCAAGAAAAACGGAUUUGCUUCCCGAAUGGGAAAAAGAACCUCCAAAAUGCGUUUCGGUAAAAUGUUAGAUGUUCAAAGUUUCAAGUUGUAUUUGUUCAUAGUACUAUAUAUGCACUUUUGGCAUGGACUAACAAACAUGUUAUAGAAUAUUUAAUACAACCGAAUAAACUGUAUUAAUUCGACUUAAAUAUCAUAUCCAACCAGUUAAUUGCAGAAAGUCAUCAGGUACAAUUAAUGUCAAUCUCAAAAGAACAGCAAAAUAUUAUUGGAUGGCACUUCCUGAAAACAACAGGUUUCUUUCAAAUGGUAAAGAAAUAAUAUGCAAUUCUACUUUUGUGGAAAUAGAAACGUGCUGCAAUGUCUUUGUAUUUUAGACAAUAGCGUCACAGUCUAUAUUCUGUAUAUGCAAUGUAAUAAAAAGUAUAAAAUAACAUGAUCGAAAGCUGAUGUCACAGGGUAUAAUAGCCAUAAAUUGUGUUGGAUUUUCCUGAGUUAGCCAUCCAAAGAAACGCCAACACAGAGGAACUGUUGGAGGUGAAACGUUUUAUUUUUUUCCUGUUUUGCUUACCAUGUAUAGCAUUAGAAAGUUGGUUAACGCUGAGACAGCAGUUAUAUAAUGUUUUGGUCAUGUAUUAUACUGUUUUGUUUUGUCUAUUGAUUUAGUGUUGAUUUCUGUACAUUCGGUGAUAAAUAAAUCAUUCAUAUUCAGGAUUGGUCAUGGUCCUUAAAAGUA